rnacentral:lncRNA from 1 species
UAAAUAGAGAUCACUGAUCAUUGUAAUGAUAAAAAUAAUCAUAAUCAAUAGAACCAGGUCAAAGAUCUUUGUGAAUUAUCUUGAACCUAUGAGCCCUAACUCAAUUUCUAACAUUGUAUCAGAAGAAGUCCCAAUGGAUUCCUCGAUUCCGAUUCCUCCUCUGCCGCACAGCACCUCCAUGGCAGUGCAUUCAACCAUUCCUCCGCCACUGGUUGCAUCAUCUUCGCAUCAUCACAACCAUUUCUAUGCAAUUUAAGAGAAUUUGGAUACUCAAAACUACCUCGUGUGGUGACAGCAGGCGGAACUAGUCAUCACAUCUCACAAGCUUCAUCAUUUUCUGGCGGAUCCUUCUAUUCCACACCUCGUUUUCUCGAUCGUUUAGUGUUGCAUAUCAAGUUAAUAUAGCGUUUGAAGCUUGUGAAGUGCAAGAUCAGAUUCUGCUCUCAUGAUUACAGUCAACGAUUUCCAAAGAAAUGCUCACAAUCAAGGUUGUCAGGAUCGCGAUCUAGAUCCCGAGAUCGUACGAUCUUGCGAGUCAUGAUGCCUCCACCGAUUUGGAGGGUCCAAAAUCGGAGAAGACGCUGGAUCGCGGAAUCGGCGCUGUUUUUCACGACAGGGAAGGUGGUUCGGCCAGAGCUGUAUGCCAACCCGACCCGGUUCCAAGGCAACCCGAUUUAUGACCCGGAUCUUUUGCCCGUGAAAUCGACCCGUUUUCCUAAAGGCCAGAUUCAAUCAUUAAUUUCAGUUUUGAGACUUGGUUGUGUUUAAUUGAAUCAUUAGGUUAGGAAAUUGGGAAUUUUUCCUCAUCUUCUUCAAUGAAUCAAUCCUCUUUCAUCUAUAAAUUCCUAUCACAUCCUCUCCCCUUCUCAUAUCAUAUCUCAUGUUCAUGGAAGUUUUAAGAUGAUACUUUGUUUUUGUAUGAACUUUUUUUAGAAUAUAUUUAAGACAAUGAGAAUUAUGAUUAAUGGAAGGUUUUUUUUUUUAUGAAAGUUUUUUUUUCUUGGUUUUUUUGUAUUAUUUUGUCUAUUACAUGGGAUCUUACGAUCCUACGAUCUACGCUUUUCCUAUACCUCAACAGUCUUUAGUGGGAUCCGGAUUUUGACAACCAUGCUCACAAUUGUGAUCAGAAGCAAGCAAUCGUGGGGAUCAAAUUCAUGCAUUCUUGCAAACACAAACCAAUGCUAAAUAACAAUGGUUGCAAUCUGAGCUUCGAGCUACGCAACUCGAUCAAGGUUCUGUUUUUGAGUUCUUGCUCACAUUCAAUCCCUAAUUCAUUCAUCGCAAGCAACUGCUCAAACUCUUU